rnacentral:rRNA from 1 species
AGUGAACGCUGGCGGUAGGCCUAACACAUGCAAGUCGAACGGCAGCACAGUAAGAGCUUGCUCUUACGGGUGGCGAGUGGCGGACGGGUGAGGAAUACAUCGGAAUCUACUUUUUCGUGGGGGAUAACGUAGGGAAACUUACGCUAAUACCGCAUACGACCUACGGGUGAAAGCAGGAGAUCUUCGGACCUUGCGCGAUUGAAUGAGCCGAUGUCGGAUUAGCUAGUUGGCGGGGUAAAGGCCCACCAAGGCGACGAUCCGUAGCUGGUCUGAGAGGAUGAUCAGCCACACUGGAACUGAGACACGGUCCAGACUCCUACGGGAGGCAGCAGUGGGGAAUAUUGGACAAUGGGCGCAAGCCUGAUCCAGCCAUACCGCGUGGGUGAAGAAGGCCUUCGGGUUGUAAAGCCCUUUUAUUGGGAAAGAAAAGCAGCAGGUUAAUACCCCGCUGUUCUGACGGUACCCAAAGAAUAAGCACCGGCUAACUUCGUG